GCAGCCGCGGUAAUACAGAGGGUGCGAGCGUUGUUCGGAAUUACUGGGCGUAAAGCGCGCGCAGGCGGUGAUGUAAGACAGGUGUGAAAUCCCCGGGCUUAACCUGGGAACUGCAUUAGUGACUGCAUAGCUAGAGUGCGGCAGAGGGGGAUGGAAUUCCGCGUGUAGCAGUGAAAUGCGUAGAUAUGCGGAGGAACACCGAUGGCGAAGGCAAUCCCCUGGGCCUGCACUGACGCUCAUGCACGAAAGCGUGGGGAGCAAA
rnacentral:rRNA from 1 species